UACGUAGGUGGCAAGCGUUGUCCGGAUUUAUUGGGUUUAAAGGGCGCGUAGGCGGGGAGGUAAGUCGGGUGUGAAAUCCCUCGGCCCAACCGAGGAACUGCGCCCGAGACUGCUUCUCUUGAGUCCCGGAGAGGAAGGUGGAAUUCCCGGUGUAGCGGUGAAAUGUGUAGAGAUCGGGAGGAACACCGGUGGCGAAGGCGGCCUUCUGGACGGUGACUGACGCUGAGGCGCGAAAGCGUGGGGAGCAAACGGG
rnacentral:rRNA from 1 species